rnacentral:rRNA from 1 species
CAGUAGCCGCGGGAAUACGUAGGUGGCAAGCGUUGUCCGGAAUUAUUGGGCGUAAAGGGCUCGCAGGCGGUUUCUUAAGUCUGAUGUGAAAGCCCCCGGCUCAACCGGGGAGGGUCAUUGGAAACUGGGAAACUUGAGUGCAGAAGAGGAGAGUGGAAUUCCACGUGUAGCGGUGAAAUGCGUAAAGAUGUGGAGGAACACCAGUGGCGAAGGCGACUCUCUGGUCUGUAACUGACGCUGAGGAGCGAAAGCGUGGGGAGCGAACAGGAUUAGAUACCCCUGUAGUCCCUGUCUCUUAUAC